AGGCCUGGAAUGAUGAUCCAGAUUCAUGUCUCUUCUCUGAGAUUUCCUCUGGAGAAAAUCCUGUUUUUUAUCUGAUCGGGCCU